UCCGUAGGCGGGCGACUAAGUCAGAGGUGAAAUCCCACAGCUUAACUGUGGAACUGCCUUUGAUACUGGUUGUCUUGAGUUAUAGUGAAGUAGAUAGAAUAUGUAGUGUAGCAGUGAAAUGCUUAGAUAUUACAUAGAAUACCGAUUGCGAAGGCAGUCUACUAACUGUAUACUGACGCUAAUGGACGAAAGCGUGGGGAGCGAACAGGAUUAGAUACCCUGGUAGUC
rnacentral:rRNA from 1 species